rnacentral:tRNA from 1 species
GGAGAGAUGGCUGAGUGGUUGAUAGCUCCGGUCUUGAAAACCGGUAUAGUUCUAGGAACUAUCGAGG